AGAGAGAGAAAAUUGCCAAUCCUCCUGUGGCGGACAGUGUGCUCCUAUUUAGCCCUGCUCCCAGCCUUCCACUCUUAGAGGUUGAUUCCAGUCAUAUAUAUUUACUUGAAUGAAAAACUGGAGUCUGUUGUUCCAGCCCUUCUCUGAGAGGCCAUCUAAGUGAUGGCAGCCGUGCUCCUGACAGCUUGGCCCCAGGUGAGCUUUGGGCGCUUAGCUCCUCCUGGCAGUUUCACAGUGAGGAGAACUGAGAAGGGGAGCUGCUGGGCCUUGGGAUGAGAACUGCUUCCACCUGCUGGAUUGUGGGAAAGAUGUGAUAUGGGUGGGGGGGCUGCAGGGGCAGGACUGUGAGGAGCCAGAGGCAGCAAGAGAGUGAAUCCAGGGAGCAGAAGGUGGCCUCUGCACACCGGGAGGUGGGGGGUCCUUGUUCCUCUGUGCAGGAGUACCCCAGCUCUUGGUGAGCAGGGAUGUGGAAGCUCUCAUAUAUGAAGAUCUGUGCCUAGAUGUGAUUGGAGGAGAAUCACGGAUAAUUGAGAGUCUUGAUGGCAGGAGAGAGGAGUAGAGGACCAGAUAAGUGAGAAGGGUGGCCAUGCUUCUAAUCCUGGCAGUGGGGAGGGUGACAUGGGGUCAAGGAGGGAAAAGACAGGCAGUCCUGUCAGGUAGAGUAUCUCAUUGUGUCCUUGUGAAGCUUUCAGGGCUUAGGGUGCAGUGCCCCAGCCUUUAGGUCUCUGAUAAGGAUCUCUACCUUGGCCUUCCUCCAAAUAAACCUGCAAACCAAAUUGAUCAUACAUGUUCAGGGACUUCAUGGAACCUCUGAAGCUCAUCUUUGGACCUCAUUGACUACAGGUUGGGAAUAGCAUAGUCACAGUGACACCAGGAACAUCCUUUGAGGCUCACUCCACUGUGGGUCCCAUGACAAGUUCUUUGCAUGGCUCAUUCAGUUCUGACAGCCACUCCCUGUGUUGUACUUAGUCUACUACAGAGGAAGAGAGUAACCUAGCCCUGGUCACAAAGUUGUGGGAUUCAUGAUUGCUCUGCCAUCUGACAGCUGUGGAGCCAGGACUGUUAACUUGGGCAGGUUUGGUGCAGCCAUGUGUGGAGUAAUUUUCAGGGCAAAUGCAAAAGCAAAGUGACCACCACUGCUUCAGGUGGUGUGGGCUUCUUUAAGGAAAGUAAGGAGAAGGAAUCAAUUUAGAUAAUGCCUAGGAUGUGAAAAUCUUAAGGAUGUAGAGAGUCAGAGGAUUAGGGAAGGGGCAAGGAGAGGGGAGAAUUGAGAGAUUUCUAGCUGAGGCUUCCUGUGUGGAUGGUGCUGACACCAGCUGAAGGAUGAGUUCAGCGGAAGGUGGCACAUGGUGAAAGCAUUUAGGCAUUUCAUUUUGUGCAGAGAAGUUACCCUGUCUGAGGUCAUGCAGAGGACCCACUGUAAUGCUCAGAGUGGACUAGAAUUUUUGGUGGGUGAAUGAGGAUAUGGAAGCUGCCCUUGGGUAAUGUUCUGUGCAUGGAUGUGAUUGGAGGACAUCAGUAGAAUCAAGGAGAGUAAAUCUUGGCGAAGAGGAGCUGAGAGGUGAAUGCCACCAGUGAGUCCCCAAGGUUGAUAGAGAUGGUGGGGAUGGACAGAGGAAGCCAGCUAGAGGCUGCAGCUGUGCAGACAGAGGAGCUGGGCAUGGGAGUGAUGUGCAGCAUCAGUCGGGAUGGCAGAACACGUGCAACCCUAUGGCUUAGUGACAGAGAAGCCAGAAGGGUGGCAGCAUAGCUGGCCAGUGGGAAGGCUGGUCUACUUUCUUCCCAAACCUUCUUGGAGAAACAAUGAUGUUUUCAAAGGAGGUGGACAGAAUGAGGGGAGAAUGGGAGAAGGUAACAGGAGAUGCUUUGUUUAGUGAGAUCCUCCUCCCCACCAGUCUGGGCAGCACUAGAGGUGCUUGAGUAGAGGUCAUGUGGCUCCUCAUUGGGGAGCCUCUGGUGGGUAAGAGGGAAGGUGGGGUCUGGAUGAGACUGAAACCAUGACUAUUCUUCGGGAGUGGCUUGAGGUGUGAGUGUGAGGUGUGGGGUAUGGAAUGGGGUUGAGGUUAGGUGCGGAGGAACCAAGACCUCAAGGGGACACAGUGGAAACUGGUUGCGUUUAGGUACCGAGUCACCACAGAUGGAGUAGCCUAUCUAAAAGAGUGGAGUUACUUUAGGGAAAUUUG